UACGUAGGGUGCGAGCGUUAAUCGGAAUUACUGGGCGUAAAGCGUGCGCAGGCGGUUCGUUGUGUCGGCGGUGAAAGCCCCGGGCUUAACCUGGGAAUGGCCGUUGAAACUGGCGAACUGGAGUGUGGCAGAGGGGGGUGGAAUUCCGCGCGUAGCAGUUGAAAUGCGUAGAGAUGCGGAGGAACACCGAUGGCGAAGGCAGCCCCCUGGGCUAACACUGGCGCUCGAGGCACGAAAGCGUGGGGAGCAAACAGG
rnacentral:rRNA from 1 species